rnacentral:rRNA from 1 species
GACGAACGCUGGCGGCGUGCUUAACACAUGCAAGUCGUACGGUAAGGCCCUUUCGGGGGUACACGAGUGGCGAACGGGUGAGUAACACGUGAGUAACCUGCCCACAACUUUGGGAUAACGCUAGGAAACUGGUGCUAAUACUGGAUAUGUGCUCCUGCUGCAUGGUGGGGGUUGGAAAGCUCCGGCGGUUGUGGAUGGACUCGCGGCCUAUCAGCUUGUUGGUGGGGUAGUGGCCUACCAAGGCGGCGACGGGUAGCCGGCCUGAGAGGGUGACCGGCCACAUUGGGACUGAGAUACGGCCCAGACUCCUACGGGAGGCAGCAGUGGGGAAUAUUGCACAAUGGGCGCAAGCCUGAUGCAGCAACGCCGCGUGCGGGAUGACGGCCUUCGGGUUGUAAACCGCUUUCAGCAGGGACGAAGCUUUUUGUGACGGUACCUGCAGAAGAAGCACCGGCUAACUACGUGCCAGCCGCCGCCGUAAAAC